rnacentral:rRNA from 1 species
UACGGAGGAUGCGAGCGUUGUCCGGAUUUAUUGGGUUUAAAGGGUGCGUAGGCGGGAUGCCAAGUCAGCGGUAAAAAUGCGGUGCUCAACGCCGUCGAGCCGUUGAAACUGGCGUUCUUGAGUGGGCGAGAAGUAUGCGGAAUGCGUGGUGUAGCGGUGAAACGCAUAGAUAUCACGCAGAACUCCGAUUGCGAAGGCAGCAUACCGGCGCCCUACUGACGCUGAGGCACGAAAGCGUGGGUAUCGAACAGG